rnacentral:rRNA from 1 species
GAGUUUGAUCCUGGCUCAGAACGAACGCUGGCGGCGUGCCUAACACAUGCAAGUCGAACGUGAUCCAGAGCUUGCUCUGGUGAAAGUGGCGCACGGGUGAGUAACGCGUGGAUAACCUACCCUGGUAUCCGGGAUAACAUUCCGAAAGGGGUGCUAAUACCGGAUAAGCCCACGGGCUCUUUGGAGCUUGCGGGAAAAGGUGGCCUCUAUUUAUAAGCUACUGUAUCAGGAUGGGUCCGCGUACCAUUAGCUAGUUGGCGGUGUAACGGACCACCAAGGCGACGAUGGUUAGCUGGUCUGAGAGGAUGAUCAGCCACACUGGAACUGAGACACGGUCCAGACUCCUACGGGAGGCAGCAGUGGGGAAUUUUGCGCAAUGGGGGAAACCCUGACGCAGCAACGCCGCGUGAGUGAUGAAGGCCUUUGGGUCGUAAAGCUCUGUCAGUGGGGAAGAAAUGAUAUAGUGCUAAUACCACCUUAUCUUGACGGUACCCUCAAAGGAAGCACCGGCUAACUCCGUGCCAGCAGCCGCGGUAAUAC